AGUGAACGCUGGCGGUAGGCCUAACACAUGCAAGUCGAACGGCAGCACAGGAGAGCUUGCUCUCUGGGUGGCGAGUGGCGGACGGGUGAGGAAUACAUCGGAAUCUACCUUUUCGUGGGGGAUAACGUAGGGAAACUUACGCUAAUACCGCAUACGACCUACGGGUGAAAGUGGGGGAUCGCAAGGCCUCACGCGAUUAGAUGAGCCGAUGUCCGAUUAGCUAGUUGGCGGGGUAAUGGCCCACCAAGGCGACGAUCGGUAGCUGGUCUGAGAGGAUGAUCAGCCACACUGGAACUGAGACACGGUCCAGACUCCUACGGGAGGCAGCAGUGGGGAAUAUUGGACAAUGGGCGCAAGCCUGAUCCAGCCAUACCGCGUGGGUGAAGAAGGCCUUCGGGUUGUAAAGCCCUUUUGUUGGGAAAGAAAUCCUGUCGAUUAAUACUCGGUGGGGAUGACGGUACCCAAAGAAUAAGCACCGGCUAACUUCGUG
rnacentral:rRNA from 1 species